rnacentral:rRNA from 1 species
GAUGAACGCUGGCGGCGUGCCUAAUACAUGCAAGUCGAGCGAACAGACGAGGAGCUUGCUCCUCUGACGUUAGCGGCGGACGGGUGAGUAACACGUGGAUAACCUACCUAUAAGACUGGGAUAACUUCGGGAAACCGGAGCUAAUACCGGAUAAUAUAUUGAACCGCAUGGUUCAAUAGUGAAAGACGGUUUUGCUGUCACUUAUAGAUGGAUCCGCGCCGCAUUAGCUAGUUGGUAAGGUAACGGCUUACCAAGGCGACGAUGCGUAGCCGACCUGCGAGGGUGAUCGGCCACACGGGAACUGAGACACGGUCCAGACUCCUACGGGAGGCAGCAGUAGGGAAUCUUCCGCAAUGGGCGGAAGCCUGACGGAGCAACGCCGCGUGAGUGAUGAAGGUCUUCGGAUCGUAAAACUCUGUUAUUAGGGAAGAACAAAUGUGUAAGUAACUAUGCACGUCUUGACGGUACCUAAUCAGAAAGCCACGGCUAACUACGUG